UACAGAGGUCCCGAGCGUUGUUCGGAUUCAUUGGGCGUAAAGGGUGCGUAGGCGGUUUGCUAAGUUUGAUGUGAAAUCCCGGGGCUCAACCCUGGAAUUGCAUUGAAUACUGGCGGACUAGAGUACCGGAGAGGAAACUGGAAUUUACGGUGUAGCAGUGAAAUGCGUAGAGAUCGUAAGGAAGACCAGUGGCGAAGGCGAGUUUCUGGACGGUAACUGACGCUGAGGCACGAAGGCCAGGGGAGCAAACGGG
rnacentral:rRNA from 1 species